AUAAUAAUUUGUUUUUUAAAUAAAAACUAGUAUGAAUGGCUUCACAUUUUCUAACUGUCUCUCUUUAUUCUCUUUUAAAUUUCUACUUCCGUGAAGAAGCGGAAAUAAUAAUAUAAGACGAGAAGACCCUGUCGAGCUUUAGCCAAUUUAAAAUAAACAUUAUUAAAAAGGCUUUGGUUGGGGCAACCAUGGAGAAAAUUUAUCCUCCAGAGAUAAAAGAUGAAUUAUUAUUCUCUUAAUUUAAACUUGAACCAAUUUAUUUUGGUAAUCAGAAAUAGUUACCGCAGGGAUAACAGCGUAAUCUUCUUUAAGAGCCCAUAUUGACA
rnacentral:rRNA from 1 species